rnacentral:rRNA from 1 species
AUGCUGGAGUACUAUCAUAUUGCCAACAAGAUGUUUAAUAGUGAGGAUGAAGGUUAUAGAUUCUAUAACAAAUAUGGUCUUGAGAAAGGUUUUAGUGUCCGGAGAAGCUAUGUCGAGUGGGAUGGAUCCAACUGCCAUAUAAUUUUAAGGAAAUUUAUGUGUAGUCAUGAAGGGGUUCGUGAAGAGAAGCACAUGAAGAGGAAGAUGGAAGAUAGAAAGAGGAGGCCACAGAGUAUAACUCAUGUAGGGUGUAAAGCUAAAUUGGUGAUUGCAAGGCAGGAGGAAACAUGUCAGUGGUUUGUGAAGGAUUCCAUCGAUGAAUACAACCAUCCUCUAGCCCCAUGGGGUCUGUUGUGUCUUUUGCAAUCACACAGAAGAAUUAGCGAUGAGCAUAAAGCGGACAUUAUAGACAUGGAAAAAUCAAGGAUCAGGAAACACCAUAUUAUGAAUAUUUUGUGCAUGCAAUACGGUGGAUAUGAUGGGUUAGAUGCAUGA